CAAAUGGACCAUGCUUAUAACAAGAUGCAGUAGAUCUGUGGUUGAUCAAGGACUUGAGGUGCAGUGACACGAGGCUGCAAUGCCACGCUGGCUUUCAGCCAGAAAUGAUUUGCCAUCACCACCUGAGGAAGCCUCUUCUAGUGCUUUCUGUGUCCAGGCUACCAGCCUGACCUGCCAUGGAGGCCAAGCAGAAGUCAUCCCCUCUCCUCAGCAGAGCUUGGAUACAGGGCACAAGAAGAGGAAGCAGCCAGUACCAUUGUGACAGAAAGCUGCAAGAAGAUGCCUUGCAUUUCUGUGGUGACAUUCUUUACCCAUCACCAGUUGUUCUUAUUGAAAACUCCUUAAUAUUUUAAAUUCAUUUGCAUCUUUAUCCUUGGCUCUCCCCUGCUGGAAGAGGAAUGGGAAAAUCAUGACCAUUUUGAGCCAACUUCUCUUCAGGCCUGAGGAGAGGUCCAGGAUUAUGGAUGAAGGUGGAUGUGUUGGGUAGGGAUGUAGAUACCCUGAAUGUUCCCAGGUAUGGGAGAUCCACCACUUCUCUGGGUAACCUGUUUGACUCUUCACCACAUCAUCGUCAAUUUUUUUUUUCUUCUAUCUAGUCUGAAUCAACUCUCCUUUAAUUUAAAACCUUCGCUCCUUCUUCUAUUGUUACAGGUCCUACCAAUGUCCUGAUUAACCACAGUGGCUUUGAAUGAGAGGACAUUCAGGUUGUCAAAUCCAUUUCCACAGUGUGUUUGAGGAGAGAAAUCUUCCAGAAGAGUUUGUGUUUUCUUCAGAGGAAGUAGGUUUUUUUCCCAGGGACCACAAAAAGCAGCUUU